rnacentral:rRNA from 1 species
GGACUACUGGGGUAUCUAAUCCUGUUUGCUCCCCACGCUUUCGCACCUCAGCGUCAGUAUCGGCCCAGGUCUCCGCCUUCGCCACUGGUGUUCCUCCCGAUAUCUACGAAUUUCACCUCUACACCGGGAAUUCCGAGACCCUCUUCCGUACUCAAGCCUUCUAGUUUCGAAUGCACUUCUCGGGUUGAGCCCAAGGCUUUCACAUCCGACUUACAAGACCGCCUACGUGCGCUUUACGCCCAAUGAUUCCGAGCAACGUUUGCACCCUCCGUAUUACCGCGGCGGCUGGCAC